rnacentral:snoRNA from 1 species
GCUCAGACACAGAGUUUCUUCAACAGACAUCAGGUCAAAGUGAAGAAUUUCAGUCAUCAUGUGU